CCUACGGAUGGCAGCAGUGGGGAAUAUUGCACAAUGGGGGAAACCCUGAUGCAGCGACGCCGCGUGAAGGAAGAAGUUUUUCGGUAUGUAAACUUCUAUCAUCAGGGAAGAAAAUGACGGUACUUAACGAAUAAGCACCGGCUAACUACGUGCCAGCAGCCGCGGUAAUACGUAGGGGGCAAGCGUUACCCGGAUUAACUGGGUGUAAAGGGAGCGUAGGCGGGUUAGCAAGUCAGAAGUGAAAGCCCAGGGCUCAACCAUGGGACUGCUUUUGAAACUGUUGAACUAGAUUGCAGGAGAGGUAAGUGGAAUUCCUAGUGUAGCGGUAAAAUGCGUAGAUAUUAAGAGGAACACCAGUGGCGAAGGCGACUUACUGGACUGUAAAUGACGCUGAGGCUCGAAAGCGUGGGGAGCAAACAGGAUUAGAUACCCCUGUAGUC
rnacentral:rRNA from 1 species